GAUGACGCUGGGCGGCGUGCNUAAUACAUGCAAGUCGAGCGAACGGACGAGAAGCUUGCUUCUCUGAUGUUAGCGGCGGACGGGUGAGUAACACGCGGAUAACCUACCUAUAAGACUGGGAUAACUUCGGGAAACCGGAGCUAAUACCGGAUAAUAUUAUGAACCGCAUGGUUCAAAAGUGAAAGACGGUCUUGCUGUCACUUAUAGAUGGAUCCGCGCUGCAUUAGCUAGUUGGUAAGGUAACGGCUUACCAAGGCAACGAUGCAUAGCCGACCUGAGAGGGUGAUCGGCCACACUGGAACUGAGACACGGUCCAGACUCCUACGGGAGGCAGCAGUAGGGAAUCUUCCGCAAUGGGCGAAAGCCUGACGGAGCAACGCCGCGUGAGUGAUGAAGGUCUUCGGAUCGUAAAACUCUGUUAUUAGGGAAGAACAUAUGUGUAAGUAACUGUGCACAUCUUGACGGUACCUAAUCAGAAAGCCACGGCUAACUACGUGCCAGCAGCCGCGGUAAUACGUAGGUGGCAAGCGUUAUCCGGAAUUAUUGGGCGUAAAGCGCGCGUAGGCGGUUUUUUAAGUCUGAUGUGAAAGCCCACGGCUCAACCGUGGAGGGUCAUUGGAAACUGGAAAACUUGAGUGCAGAAGAGGAAAGUGGAAUUCCAUGUGUAGCGGUGAAAUGCGCAGAGAUAUGGAGGAACACCAGUGGCGAAGGCGACUUUCUGGUCUGUAACUGACGCUGAUGUGCGAAAGCGUGGGGAUCAAACAGGAUUAGAUACCCUGGUAGUCCACGCCGUAAACGAUGAGUGCUAAGUGUUAGGGGGUUUCCGCCCCUUAGUGCUGCAGCUAACGCAUUAAGCACUCCGCCUGGGGAGUACGAC
rnacentral:rRNA from 1 species